rnacentral:rRNA from 1 species
UGAGUACGAGAUGCUACGGCAUCGAAGCAGUCUAUGUCAUACUUCCAAGAAAAGCUUGCACUGUCAGAAACAGAUAAUGCCUGUACCAUAACCGACACAGGUGGGUAGGUAGAGUAUACUAAGGGGCGCGAGAUAACUCUCUCUAAGGAACUCGGCAAAAUGACUCCGUAACUUCGGGAGAAGGAGUGCCUUAUUUUUAAGGUUGCAAUAACAAGAUCCAAGCAACUGUUUACCAAAAACACAGGUCUCCGCUAAGUCGUAAGACGAUGUAUGGGGGCUGACGCCUGCCCAGUGCCAGAAGGUUAAAGAAGUCGGUUAGCAUUCGCGAAGCUGGUAACUGAAGCCCUGGUGAACGGCGGCCGUAACGAUAACGGUCCUAAGGUAGCGAAAUUCCUUGUCGGGUAAGUUCCGACCCGCACGAAAGGCGUAAUGAUUUGGAUACUGUCUCGGAGAGGGGCUCGGUGAAAUAGACUUGUCUGUGAAGAUGCGGACUACCUGCACCUGGACAGAAAGACCCUAUGAAGCUUUACUGUAACUUGAAAUUGAAAUUGGACUUUAUUUGCGCAGUAUAGGUGGGAGGCGUUGAAAAUAUUCUUGCGGGAAUAUUGGAGCCAUCAGUGAGAUACCACUCUUGUAAUGUUAGAUUUCUAACUUUAUAUCAUUAUCUGGUUAAAGAACAGUUUCAGGCGGGCAGUUUGACUGGGGCGGUCGCCUCCCAAAUGGUAACGGAGGCGCACAAAGGUUUCCUCUGAACGGGUAGAAAUCGUAUCUAGAGUGUAAAGGCAUAAGGAAGCUUGACUGUGAGACCUACAAGUCGAGCAGGGACGAAAGUCGGUCUUAGUGAUCCGACGGUGCUGAGUGGAAAGGCCGUCACUCAACGGAUAAAAGUUACUCUAGGAUAACAGGCUGAUCUCCCCCAAGAGUUCACAUCGACGGGGAGGUUUGGCACCUCGAUGUCGGCUCAUCGCAUCCUGGGGCGGUAGUACGUCCCAAGGGUUGGGCUGUCCGCCCAUGAAAGCGGUACGCGAGCUGGGUUCAGAACGUCGUGAGACAGUUCGGUCCAUAUCCGGUGUAGGCGUUAGAAUAUUGAGAGGAGCCUUCUUUAGUACGAGAGGACCGAGAAGGACAUACCUCUGGUGUACCAGUUAUCGUGCCAACGGUAAACGCUGGGUAGCUAUGUAUGGAGUGGAUAACCGCUGAAAGCAUCUAAGUGGGAAGCCCACCUCAAGAUAAG